GUGCGCGUCGUGUUAUUUUUAUUUAUUUACUAAAACGAUAAUAUUAUAUAAACACAAAAGUUUCGGUUCCGUUUAUUUAUAUAUAUAUAUAUAUAUAUAUAUAUUUAAAUCAACGUAUAGACCUCUAGAGCUUUUAUACUUAGAAGGUAGUCAAACGCGUAAUACAUGCUGAUUGGUUGAACUUCAGUGUUCUAUGCAAUUCUAUAUUGUAUUU